rnacentral:tRNA from 1 species
GGGGUUGUAGCUCAGUGGUAGAGCACUUGCCUCACACAGAUGAGGCCCUGGGUUCAAUCCCCAGCACCA